UGGCUUUGGAAAUGUGUGCAUGUAAUUCCAUUUGAAAUGUCCAUUCCAUGCUUAUGACUAAUAAAUGUUUGCAUGUUAUGUCACAGGGAUAAUAAAUAAUAACACAGCUUCAAACAUGUCUGCUAGUCAACUUUUGGACUCUUGUGUCUUGGUGAAUAGGAGGGUGGAACAGAGGCAAGAACACAGCAUCACACACACAGAAAUUACCCAAAGGAGAGUAUUACAAGAACAGGGUCCAGAUAUGCAGCAUUAUAAGGGUCCAGAUGUUUCCAGUUCUCUGAAUGAAGGUGUUUAUCACCCACACAGCAAUGGGCACUCCGAACAUUCACCGAAUUCUAGCCAUAUGUCCGUUCAUAGUGAUGAACCGCUAGUACGGACUCAGAAGCAACAAACCACUCAGCAAGUGACAACUGUGACCAAAGUUGUGAGAGAAGUGCAGCAGUUGGGUGAUCAGUCAGGGGAGUAUAUCCCUGUACCCUUGGGAUCAUACUCCCACCCUUCUCAAUACGUUGAUUACAUAGAACAACCUCACCACAUGUAUUCUCAGUAUCAUCAACACCCUCACUAUCAAGAUUAUGACCAUUACCCGAACCCCUAUGGGGCCUAUAUGGGUUACUCUACUGGUGCCGAAAGACCUCCCACCCCUCCUAGUCCAAGUGAGCACAGCGGUGACCCCUCACCACUUCCUCUUACGUCGCAACCAAAUCCUUCGUACUUGGGAUCAGGUUAUGACGAGCUGCCUGAGCAUUAUAGGGUUACUCCAUCUCCUGGCGGCCCGAUAGGAAUGGAUCCUUAUCAAGAUGAUUCAGCAGUAGUGUAUGGUUAUGUCUCCCCUUCCCCAUAUGGUACAGCUCCAAGUCUUUCCCGACCAUAUGUAGAUAGCAUAAAUGGACCAGUUCCAGUUGGAGCAACCAUGAGGAUGUUUGAGGAUGAAGAUCUUCAAAAACAUAUGAGUAAAAUGUCUCUCCACGGACAUAAUGUAGGUUUGCCACAUGAGAGGGCACAUAACAUCGCUUCUCCUGGUAGUAUUGGUGGAGAAGAAGAUCAAAGAGGGAUGCGUUGGCGUGAUCCCAAUCUCACCGAAGUGAUAGGCUUCCUGAAUAAUCCCAACAACGUGAUCAAAGCCAAUGCAGCAGCAUAUUUACAACACUUAUGUUAUAUGGAUGACCCCAAUAAACAAAAGACGAGAGCUCUUGGUGGGAUUCCUCCUCUUGUGAAAUUGUUGAGCCAUGACAGUAUAGAGGUGUACAGAAAUGCCUGUGGAGCAUUGAGGAACUUAUCAUAUGGAAGACAAAAUGACGAGAACAAAAGGGCAAUCAAGAAUGCUGGUGGUAUACCUUCGUUAAUAAAUUUGUUGCGGAGAUCCAAUGAGGCAGAGAUCAAAGAAUUAGUGACAGGCGUCAUUUGGAAUAUGUCUUCAUGUGAAGAUUUGAAAAGAAAUAUCAUAGACGAUGGUGUAAUGACAAUUGUGACUUAUAUAAUAAUUCCGCAUUCUGGGUGGGAUCCUCAGGGGAACCACGGAGAAACUUGUUGGUCAACAGUGUUCAGAAACGCAUCGGGUGUGCUCAGAAAUGUCAGCUCAGCUGGCGAAUAUGCCAGAAAGAAAUUGAGGGAAUGCGAUGGCUUAGUUGAUGCACUGUUAUUUGUUGUUCGCUGUGCCAUAGAUAAAUCGAACAUAGGCAAUAAAAUUGUCGAGAAUUGUGUAUGCAUUUUACGUAACUUGUCAUAUCGAUGUCAGGAAGUAGAAGAUCCAAAUUACGACAAGAACCCCUUGCCGACACAAAGUAGAGUUGCUGCUACAUCUUCAAAAGGUGAAAAUUUGGGUUGUUUUGGUGGUAGCAAGAAGAAAAAGGAAUCUCAGUCUUCGGAAACAAAAGACAGUAAUUUUGCAUCUGGAGGUACCAGUGGAACUUCUAGUGCAGCUUCCAGAGGGGAGCCAGUACGAGGCAUGGAGCUUCUCUGGCAGCCUGAAGUUGUACAAUCAUAUUUGGCUCUCUUGCAAAGUUGUUCAAACCCUGAAACAUUGGAGGCGGCAGCUGGAGCCCUUCAAAAUUUAGCAGCUUGUUACUGGCAGCCUAGUAUAGAAAUUCGCGCUGCUGUUCGCAAAGAGAAAGGUCUUCCAAUUCUGGUAGAACUCCUUAGAAUGGAAGUAGACAGGGUGGUAUGUGCAGUAGCCACGGCUCUCAGAAACUUAGCAAUUGAUCAGCGAAAUAAAGAACUGAUUGGAAAAUAUGCCAUGAGAGAUCUUGUUCAAAAACUUCCUUCAGGAAAUCCGCAACAUGAUCAAGGCACUUCAGAUGAUACAAUAGCAGCAGUAUUGGCGACUUUGAAUGAAGUCAUAAAGAAAAAUGCAGAGUUUUCUAGAUCUCUUCUGGAAGCUGGUGGUGUAGAAAGACUGAUGACAAUUACUAGGCAACGACAGAAAUAUACUCCGAGGGUACUAAAAUUUGCAGGGCAAGUUUUAUUCACGAUGUGGCAGCAUCAAGAUCUGAGAGAUGUGUAUAAAAAGCAUGGUUGGAAAGAACAAGAUUUUGUAACAAAGACUGUAGCAGCUCGUAAUGCCGGACCUAAUUCACCAAACAACGCAAACAGUACGUUGAAUCGCCCUAUGGCAUCGCAAAGUGGAACGAGGUAUGAAGAUAGGACUAUGAAACGUACUGGCCCAGGUACUAGAAGUACAGGUGUCUUCCAAAGGAAUGAAGAUAUUCCAAUGGCCGACAUGGCCUAUCCAGAGAGCCAGGCUGUCAUAGGACGGUCCUACCCCUCUGGCCCAGGUCCAAACCCGCCACCAGUAAGUCACUAAUAAGCCCACUUGCACAACCCUACACAUCCGUGUCAAUUUAUCGCGUUUGAUUGGUGAAGGUGAAUCUGGACUUGCUCAAACUAGCAAUACGGCCACACAUACCUAUCAUAUACAUUCUAGUAUACUAACGAAUAACUGCCUCAUCUAUGUAGGACUGUAAUUCACUUAGCCUGUAAACUACCUUAAUGUGUAUGUAAGAUCCACUGGCCACAUUUUUACAUUUAUACUAAUUUUAUCAGGUCGGGAUGGUGUGCUCUAAUUUUCUUAUUUAUACCAUAUUAGCAGUUCCAGAUGCUGUAGGUCUUCCUAUGUAACUUAUCUAGACGUGUCUGUAUCGAAUAUAAUAAAUAAUAUAAUGAAAUCUAGCCUGUAGCGAAUGUAGUAAAUUGAUGAUUGAUGCGCGGUGUGUUCGUGGCGUGGGGCGGCAAUGGGCGGGCAGUGGGCGGGCACUUGGCAUUGGGCAGUGAACGAAGGCCCUGGCAGCAGUAGCUGGUAGCGUUGCGGCUUGGCAUCCAUGUGGCGCCAACCCAUGUAAGGCCCAGCCGGAACCUCUAUACGCCCAAGUGAACAUGGAAAA